rnacentral:rRNA from 1 species
GUAUGGUUAAGUGACUAAGCGUACACGGUGGAUGCCUAGGCAAUCAGAGGCGAAGAAGGACGUGCUAAUCUGCGAAAAGCUUGGAUGAGUUGAUAAGAAGCGUUUAAUCCAAGAUAUCCGAAUGGGGAAACCCGAUGGAUGAAGAAUCCAUCAUUUCAUUAUGAAUCCAUAGUAAUGAAAGGCAAACCGGGAGAACUGAAACAUCUAAGUACCCCGAGGAAAAGAAAUCAACCGAGAUUUUGUAAGUAGCGGCGAGCGAAAGCGAAAGAGCCAGUGAGUGAUAACAGCAAAGACAGAAGAAUUGGCUGGGAAGCCAAGCGACACAGGGUGAUAGCCCCGUAUUUUAAGUUUAUGUUGUGGUACUAAACUUGCAACAAGUAGGGCGGGACACGAGAAAUCCUGUUUGAAGAUGGGGGGACCAUCCUCCAAGGCUAAAUACUCCUGAUUGACCGAUAGUGAACCAGUACUGUGAAGGAAAGGCGAAAAGAACCCCAGUGAGGGGAGUGAAAUAGAACCUGAAACCGUGUACGUACAAGCAGUGGGAGCCCGAAAGGGUGACUGCGUACCUUUUGUAUAAUGGGUCAGCGACUUAUAUUUUGUAGCGAGGUUAACUGAAUAAGGGAGCCGAAGGGAAACCGAGUCUUAACUGGGCGGCUAGUUGCAAGGUAUAGACCCGAAACCCGGUGAUCUAGCCAUGGGCAGGUUGAAGGU